GGAUGUGAGGGUGAUCUGACUGCGACAUUGGUCACUCCAGUGAUUGCCAGGGGUUGAUUUGGCGGAUGUAGCUGACUAGGUGAGUUUCUCCUUCCUUCGUCGCCACACCCUGUGUGCCCCUGCCGAAGUUGUGCACACUUGAUGGAAGAAGACGACCAUCCCUGAUAGAAAGAGUGAACUGUUCUUCAGCCAAGGGUGUAUGAUAGCUGGACACUUCUGCUAGAACCUCGCACCCAGCUUUUAAUGUGUAAUAGCUGACAUGU
rnacentral:sRNA from 1 species